UGCCAGCAGCCGCGGUAAUACGAAGGGACCUAGCGUAGUUCGGAAUUACUGGGCUUAAAGAGUUCGUAGGUGGUUGAAAAAGUUAGUGGUGAAAUCCCAGAGCUUAACUCUGUAACUGCCAUUAAAACUUUUUAGCUGGGGUAUGAUAGAGGAAAGUGGAAUUUCUAGUGUAGAGGUGAAAUUCGUAGAUAUUAGAAAGAAUACCAAUUGCGAAGGCAGCUUUCUGGAUCAUUACUGACACUGAGGAACGAAAGCAUGGGUAGCGAAGAGGAUUAGAUA
rnacentral:rRNA from 1 species